CCAGCUAAGGUCCCCANNNAAUCAUCACUAAGUGAGAAAGGAGGUGGGAGUGCAUAGACAACCAGGAGGUUUGCCUAGAAGCAGCAAUCCUUAAAAGAGUGCGUAAUAGCUCACUGGUCAAGCGCUCCUGCGCCGAAAAUGAACGGGGCUAAGUGAUGUACCGAAGCUGUGGACUCAGAUGUGAGUGGUAGGGGAGCGUUCUGUGUAGGGUGAAGCACUAGCGGCAAGCAGGUGUGGACAGCACAGAAGUGAGAAUGUCGGCUUGAGUAGCGAAAAUAUGUGUGAGAAUCACAUACCCCGAAAUCCUAAGGGUUCCUCCGGAAGGCUCGUCCGCGGAGGGUUAGUCAGGACCUAAGGCGAGGCCGAGAGGCGUAGUCGAUGGACAACGGUUCAAUAUUACCGUACUGAUUGUAAAUUGUAGCGGGGGACGGAGAAGGCUAAUGCAGCUAGAUGAUGGUUACUAGUCCAAGCAUUCGAGGCGAUGAGGAGCGGUGGAAACGCUCUGAGCGGAGGUGUGAUGGGGAGUCUCUACGGAGACGAAGUGCAUGAUGUCAAGC
rnacentral:rRNA from 1 species